rnacentral:rRNA from 1 species
UUUCUUCGGAAAGUAAGAUCCCUGAAAGAUGAUCAGGUAGAUAGGUUUGGAGUGGAAGUGUAGCGAUACAUGGAGCGGACAAAUACUAAUCGAUCGAGGACUUAACCAA